rnacentral:rRNA from 1 species
UACGGGGGGAGCAAGCGUUGUUCGGAUUUACUGGGCGUAAAGGGCGCGUAGGCGGCCUCCGCAAGUCGACUGUGAAAUCUCUGGGCUUAACCCAGAACGGUCAGCCGAUACUGCGGGGCUAGAGUGCAGAAGGGGCAACUGGAAUUCUCGGUGUAGCGGUGAAAUGCGUAGAUAUCGAGAGGAACACCUGCGGCGAAGGCGGGUUGCUGGGCUGACACUGACGCUGACAGCGCGAAAGCUAGGGGAGCGAACGGG